GCACUCCCGGGGCGUCUCUAUCUCAUUGCGAGAGGAGGCGCACCCAGAGCGUACACGCUGAUACCCGAAAGAUGGUGAACUAUGCCUGGCCAGGACGAAGCCAGGGGAAACCCUGGUGGAGGUCCGCAGCGAUUCUGACGUGCAAAUCGAUCGUCGGAGCUGGGUUUAGGGGCGAAAGACCAAUCGAACCAUCUAGUAGCUGGUUCCCUCUGAAGUUUCCCUCAGGAUAGCUUGCGCUCGGACGAGACGAGUCUCAUCCGGUAGAGCGAAUGAUUAGAGGCCUUGGGGUCGAAACGACCUCAACCUAUUCUCAAACUCCAAAUAGAUGAGAACCCAGGCUUUCUUGAACAUUGUUUAUGAAGCCUUGGGCUCGGAUCAGAGUGCCAAGUGGGCCAAUUUUGGUAAGCAGAACUGGCGCUGUGGGAUGAACCAAACGCGGAGUUAAGGCGCCUCAAUCGACGCUCAUGUGAAACCAUGAAAGGCGUUGGUUGCUUAAGACAGUAG
rnacentral:rRNA from 1 species